rnacentral:rRNA from 1 species
UACGAAGGGGGCUAGCGUUGCUCGGAAUCACUGGGCGGAAAGGGUGCGUAGGCGGGUUUUUAAGUCAGGGGUGAAAUCCUGGAGCUCAACUCCAGAACUGCCUUUGAUACUGAAGAUCUUGAGUCCGGGAGAGGUGAGUGGAACUGCGAGUGUAGAGGUGAAAUUCGUAGAUAUUCGCAAGAACACCAGUGGCGAAGGCGGCUCACUGGCCCGGUACUGACGCUGAGGCACGAAAGCGUGGGGAGCAAACAGG